CCUACGGGUGGCAGCAGUGAGGAAUAUUGGUCAAUGGACGAGAGUCUGAACCAGCCAAGUAGCGUGAAGGAUGACUGCCCUAUGGGUUGUAAACUUCUUUUAUAUGGGAAUAAAAUGUUCCACGUGUGGGCUUUUGUAUGUACCAUAUGAAUAAGGCUCGGCUAAAUCCGUGCCAGCAGCCGCGGUAAUACGGAGGAUCCGCGCGUUAUCCGGAUUUAUUGGGUUUAAAGGGAGCGUAGGUGGAUUGUUAAGUCAGUUGUGAAAGUUUGCGGCUCAACCGUAAAAUUGCAGUUGAAACUGGCAGUCUUGAGUACAGUAGAGGUGGGCGGAAUUCGUGGUGUAGCGGUGAAAUGCUUAGAUAUCACGAAGAACUCCGAUUGCGAAGGCAGCUCACUGGACUGCAACUGACACUGAGGCUCGAAAGUGUGGGUAUCAAACAGGAUUAGAUACCCGUGUAGUC
rnacentral:rRNA from 1 species